rnacentral:rRNA from 1 species
AUUGAACGCUGGCGGCAUGCUUUACACAUGCAAGUCGAACGGUAACAGGGAGCUUGCUCCGCUGACGAGUGGCGAACGGGUGAGUAAUACAUCGGAACGUACCCAAGAGUGGGGGAUAACGUAGCGAAAGUUACGCUAGUACCGCAUACGAUCUAAGGAUGAAAGCAGGGGACCGCAAGGCCUUGUGCUCCUGGAGCGGCCGAUAUCUGAUUAGCUAGUUGGUAGGGUAAAGGCCUACCAAGGCAUCGAUCAGUAGCUGGUCUGAGAGGACGACCAGCCACACUGGAACUGGGACACGGUCCAGACUCCUACGGGAGGCAGCAGUGGGGAAUUUUGGACAAUGGGCGCAAGCCUGAUCCAGCAAUGCCGCGUGAGUGAAGAAGGCCUUCGGGUUGUAAAGCUCUUUUGUCAGGGAAGAAACGGGCGUGGCUAAUAUCCAUGUCUAAUGACGGUACCUGAAGAAUAAGCACCGGCUAACUACGUGCCAGCAGCCGCCGUAAAAC